GUUUUUUUUGAGAAAGUGUGUGUUAUAAGCAUGUUGAUGUUGAAUAUUUGAGAUAUUUUGAAUGAUUUGACCUUUUGGUCUUAAUGGAGUUGUUUUGAACUCGAGUGUGAAAGAAAUCCACAACGUGGUUGAUUUUGAUAGAUGGGAAGCAUGAUGGCUCCCGAUGUAUAUUUAUAUAUUACUGAAAUUGUUUUGUUGUGGAUUGUCUUUGAAA
rnacentral:lncRNA from 1 species